AGUGGGUCGGGGUUGGGUAGAUGGAUGAUGGGUAUGAAAGAGGACACAGAUCAGCACUAAGUGUUGUAUGGAGCCCGUUGCAGCCAAGAGUGACACUUACUAAUGUCUCAGGGGAGGACUGCCUGAGCCACAAGCUAACCUGUGAAAAUAAAGAGAAGCCUUGUCAAAGUGAACUCGGGGGAAGCUGGA